rnacentral:rRNA from 1 species
GACGGAGGGUGCUAGCGUUGUUCGGAAUUACUGGGCGUAAAGGGCGCGUAGGCGGCCUGCUAAGUCGGUUGUGAAAGCCCGGGGCUCAACCCCGGAACGGCAGCCGAGACUGGCGGGCUCGAGACCGGGAGAGGAGGGUGGAAUACCCAGUGUAGAGGUGAAAUUCGUAGAUAUUGGGUGGAACACCGGUGGCGAAAGCGGCUCUCUAGCCCGGUUCUGACGCUGAGGCGCGACAGCGUGGGGAGCAAACAGG